rnacentral:rRNA from 1 species
CAAUAGCGUAUACUAAUGUUGUUGCAGUUAAAAGGCUCGUAGUUGAACUUCUGGUAGGAGUGUCCCGGCCUUUUUGUUUUUACAAAUUGUAUGCUGUGUGACAUCUCUGGCCAUCCUUCUUCUUUGUUUAAAGAAGAUCUUUCACUGUAAAAAAACUAGGGUGUUCAAAGCAAAAGUUUCUUUGGAAUAUAUUAGUAUGGGAUGAUAAGAUAGGCUCUAGAUGCUAUUUUGUUGGUUUGCACAUUUAGAGAAUGAUUAACAGGGACAGUUGGGGGUAUUCGUAUUUACAUGUCAGAGGUGAAAUUCUUGGAUUUUGGAAAGACGAACUACUGCGAAAGCAUUUACCAAGGAUGUUUUCAUUAA